AGCGAACGCUGGCGGCAGGCUUAACACAUGCAAGUCGAACGCAUCCUUCGGGGUGAGUGGCAGACGGGUGAGUAACACGUGGGAACGUACCUUUUUGUUCGGAAUAACUCAGGGAAACUUGAGCUAAUACCGGAUACGCCCUUAGGGGGAAAGAUUUAUCGCAGAAAGAUCGGCCCGCGUCUGAUUAGCUAGUUGGUGAGGGAAAGGCUCACCAAGGCGACGAUCAGUAGCUGGUCUGAGAGGAUGAUCAGCCACACUGGGACUGAGACACGGCCCAGACUCCUACGGGAGGCAGCAGUGGGGAAUAUUGGACAAUGGGCGCAAGCCUGACCCAGCCAUGCCGCGUGAGUGAUGAAGGCCCUAGGGUUGUAAAGCUCUUUCGGCGGGGACGAUAAUGACGGUACCCGCAGAAGAAGCCCCGGCUAACUUCGUGCCAGCCGCCGCAGUAACAC
rnacentral:rRNA from 1 species